rnacentral:rRNA from 1 species
AACAGAGGAUGCAAGCGUUAUCCGGAAUUAUUGGGCGUAAAGCGCGCGUAGGUGGUUUGUUAAGUUGAAUGUGAAAUCCCCGGGCUCAACCUGGGAACUGCAUCCAAAACUGGCAAGCUAGAGUAUGGUAGAGGGUGGUGGAAUUUCCUGUGUAGCGGUGAAAUGCGUAGAUAUAGGAAGGAACACCAGUGGCGAAGGCGACCACCUGGACUGAUACUGACACUGAGGUGCGAAAGCGUGGGGAGCAAACAGG